AUGGGGCAGGAGCCGAGGGGAGCUGGCAGCAGAAGACAGAGCCAUGGCCAUGCUGCCAACCCUCUAGCCAGGGUGCCACGCCUGGCGCCGCCACCACACACUUGCGGCCGCGUUGCUGGGCCCUUCUCUGCUCCCGCAAAUAGUCUCGCACUGUGUCUCCCCUUCCGCAUGUUAAAAGUCAGAGAUUCCAGCCGGCAACAUGGCCAUGCACUGGCGUCUGCGAGUGAGGAGAGGAAUGCCCAGAGCCUUUUGGCUUUCCUGGUAAGAGGCAGGGCCUUGCCUCGAUCUAACGCUCACACCGCAGGGAAUGAUUCCAAGAGAGGAGGGCUUGGUGCCUGGGAAGACACGGACAAACAAAACCAAACCAGCAAAUGUACACUACAGGGUAGCAAUGUGUGAUUGCUUGUGUAAGACCCUACGAAUCUUCACAGGAAUGCAGGCGAUUAGCCACAGAGCCCCUCUCUGCCUAGCGCCAGGCACCGGACGCGCGGCUACACAGAGGCCACUGAAUGGAACUGCAGAGUAAUCUUCAGAAGAAAGAGCCAGCUCACAGGAGUGGCGGCGGCCCAUUGUGCCGAGCUGCAGACACCAGAGAGCCUGGGCUGCGGCGGGGAGGUGCAGGGCACUAAUGCCAGCCACAGCCGGGCAGGGCCGGGGAGGCCAGCGUCCACCUGACGGGCCUUCGUGAUUAGUAUUCCCCGUCACGUCCUAAUGAAAGACCCGGAGCCUCUUAAAAUCAUGAGGAAACUAAGUCACAGAAAAACGAAGUAAUUUCUGAAGAUAACACAGCUAGUAGACAGCAGGGCCGCGAUUUGGAACCAGGCCGUCAACUCCAGAUCGCCCCUCUGCUCAGGUGGGUGGAGGGCUUGCAAGCCUGCAGCCUGGGCCUUGCUCCUCCUUUAUGCUCCAGAAAACACAGCUCACAAAGCUACUCACCCAGUUCAGUGCUCCGCUUUUAAGAAUGAGGAAACAGACUCAGAGAGGUGAAAUGACUUUCUUAAAAUCUCACAAUAAGAAAAACAAGAUCAGUUACAUCUUUUUCCUUAGGUUAAAGACUCACCUGAUUUGGUUCUCCCUUUAGGCAGGUCUACAUAUUUUCCAUGGAUGAAAAUUCCUUAAGGUUGUGUGAGAGCAUCCUAAGGAGAGCUCAGACGGAUGCGGAAAUCGGAUGGAUGUCCAAACGAUCAAACGGGCUUGGGGGAAAACCUGAAUUAACUCAAUUACCCCUUGCAUGUCCUCCUCCUCCUUACAUGACACUCAGAUAAGACUAGUGCAAAGGAGACCCAAGUCACUCGUUUCCCCAGCAGAUGGUUAUUGAGGGCCCACUAUGCGUCAUGACCUGUGCACAGCAGGCACCGACCACACGGGACACGGGGAGAGCAAGGCAAGUUCCUGCCCCUGGGGAGCUCACAUCCCAGGAUCCGUGGGGGGACCCCUCAACUUUGCUUAGAGAUGGUCCUUCGAGGGCUUGGGCCAGUCUGUAACCUGGGCCAGUCUGUAACCUGGGCCACUGGCCACUGGGAGACCGCGUGAGAGGAUGCAUGGCCUAGAACAGUCCAUCAGUUGUGGAGAUGUUCCUGUUUUCCUCAUGGCAAACCAUUAGGGGAUUUGUUUAAAACAUUUUAACAGCAAUUUUAAGCUCUGUGUCUCACUUCAUAUUUGUGUAGUGAGUACGUGGUAACAUAUGUUGUUUCUACGGAAGCGUAUAGAAAAUUUCCAGGGAUUGAUUUUCUGUCCAUUAACUCACUGGGCAAUGGUCUGUUACCAUGGACAAAACUCCAAUACUUUACAGUUUUCAAAUUCACUUCUAGAGCUUGUUGAUGAUAGAAACUUUAAUAACAAAAUGUGAUUAAUGAUGUUAUGUUCUUACGUGGACUAAAUUAUAAUAUAUGUAACUAUGCAAGCAUUCAACAAAUAUUUACCGAACCAUUUUGUGUUAGUCUGGAAGAAUUUGAUUGCAAAUAACUGAAAACGGAGUUCAUGGUGCCUAAAGCAAUAAAGAUAAUUUGUUAAAUUACGUAAUGAAAAAGUUCAGGGCUAUUUCAGCCUUCAGGAACAGUCUGAUCAGGGCGCUGUUAUUUUUACAGUUCUCCCGGCCCUGAGUCUCCUCUGGGUAUGAUUGUAUCUUUGUUUUCAGGCUGGUUUUCCUCCUAGUAGAAAAAUGGCUGCUGUACUUUGAUGUUCUUGUCUACAUAACCCUCUACCCGGCGUGAGAAAGCAUCUCUCCUCUAACAAAGAAAUUUUGGAUUUCAUUCCUGUUGAACCAAUUGGUUCAUGUGCCUUCUUUAAACCAAUCGCUGUGGAUGGGAAUUCAGGGUCAUACUGAUGGGUUUAGACUAUUGAGGGUCCACUCCUAAACCCACACAAACUGCACACUGCUACCCAACGGAGGAGAGGUGGAACCCAAUUCCACUUCUACUUACUCUGUGCUAGGCGGUGAGGUUGCCGCUGUGGACUGUCAGUCUAGCCAAACACCUGUAAGCAGCUCUUGAGAGCAUUCAUAGCGCAACUUUAUGAGAUGGGUCAAAACUCCAAAUGGUUGUUCUGAUAUUUCUAGAAUGAUUUCCUAGCCCACAGUGCACAAUGAGAGAAUUGCAUCGGGAGUCAGAGGGCUUGUUUACACCCCCCACAAAGAGAUUUUGCAUAUGAGACAGAAUUAGAGGAGGUUCACUAUGAGAAUUUAUAAGCUUCCUUAUUGAUUCUGCUUUGGAUCUUCAGUAGAAAGCAGUUAAGUUUCCAUAAUGGAAAGAACAUAUUUAAAUAUUUAGGAAAGUUGAUAAUCGAUCCCAUUAAUUGCAUUGUGUGUUAAACCCAAGCCGUGAGCAGGCUGGCUUUGCCUGGGCGUGGCAAAGGGAAGGAGGAGAGGGGGGCACCCUGCCCCGUGGCUACUCCCCGUUACUAGAAGUGUUCUCCACAGCACGUCGUGUCUGCAGUUUACGGGCCUGGCAGUGGCAGGUGCAGCAGGACGGUCACUGGUGAGUCCGCUGGGGCUGGAAGUGAGACGAGAGCUACGGGGCAACCUGAGCAUUCAGUUCCUCACAAGUACCUGGGUGUGCGGAUUCUAUGGAUUCAACAGGUGCAGAUUGUACAUAUCACUGGAACACUCUCUAUCUCCGAAAAUCUUUAAAUUGCUCUCUGAGUAACACUCCUGAGCUGCAUUUUAUAGAUUUCUGAAUUACGUGAUGCUAUAGCAUAAACGUAUUCAAAGUCUUGGCAAAGACUGAUAGAAAGCACACGAAGUUUGAUGCUCUAGGGUGACAAUAUC